CACCACUCAAGCCUGGCUUGGUAUUGGGCGCCGCGGUGUUCCGCGCGCCUCAAAGUCUCCGGCUGAGCUGUCCGUCUCCAAGCGUUGUGAUUUCAUUAAUCGCUUCGGGGUGCGGGCGGCCGCGGCCGUUAAAUCUUUCACAA
rnacentral:misc_RNA from 1 species